rnacentral:rRNA from 2 species
GAACCUGCGGAAGGAUCAUUACCGAGUGUAGGGUUCCUAGCGAGCCCAACCUCCCACCCGUGUUUACUGUACCUUAGUUGCUUCGGCGGGCCCGCCAUUCAUGGCCGCCGGGGGCUCUCAGCCCCGGGCCCGCGCCCGCCGGAGACACCACGAACUCUGUCUGAUCUAGUGAAGUCUGAGUUGAUUGUAUCGCAAUCAGUUAAAACUUUCAACAAUGGAUCUCUUGGUUCCGGCAUCGAUGAAGAACGCAGCGAAAUGCGAUAACUAGUGUGAAUUGCAGAAUUCCGUGAAUCAUCGAGUCUUUGAACGCACAUUGCGCCCCCUGGUAUUCCGGGGGGCAUGCCUGUCCGAGCGUCAUUGCUGCCCAUCAAGCACGGCUUGUGUGUUGGGUCGUCGUCCCCUCUCCGGGGGGGACGGGCCCCAAAGGCAGCGGCGGCACCGCGUCCGAUCCUCGAGCGUAUGGGGCUUUGUCACCCGCUCUGUAGGCCCGGCCGGCGCUUGCCGAACGCAAAUCAAUCUUUUCCAGGUUGACCUCGGAUCAGGUAGGGAUACCCGCUGAACUUAAGCAUAUCAAUA